UGGUGGUGUGAAUUGUCUGCUUAAUUGCGACAACGAACGAGACCUUCGCCAGCUUAUUAGGGAUGUCUUCUUCGGAUCUCAACCCUUCUUAGCGGGACUUUGUUGCGUCACAGCACAAUGAAGCGAAGGCAAUAACA
rnacentral:rRNA from 1 species